CGGUAUCUAUCCAGAGCAUACUAUAUGGUCAGCAGCAGGCUCGGGUCUGUGGGAUAAAAAUGCGAUAGACAGUAGUUUAUACAGUGCUCAGUCUGCCCCAAGCACUGGUCUAAGUGCCUUCCAUGCAGGAACUGAUCUGAUCCUAGUAGCAGCCAUGGGAGAUUCAAGACUCAAGAAGCUUAAUGAACCCCAAGCAGGAUAAAAUUAAAGAAAACCACACGUAGACCCAUCAUAAUCGAAUUGGUGAAAAUUAAGGUGAAGAAACGCCUUUGAAAGCAGCUAGAGGAAAAACUACACUUUACCUACAAAGGAACAAGAAUUCUAAUGCCAGGAAAUUUUUCAUUGGAACCCCGAAGGUCAGAAGACAGUGGAACAUCAUUUUUAAAGUGCUGAAAGAAAAGCACCAUCAACCCAGAAUUCUAUAGCCAGCAAAAAUAUCCUCCAGGUAUGAAGUCAAAAUGAAGCUAUUUUCACAUGAAGGAAAACUAAGACAGUUUGUCACAAGAAUACCUGUGUCGUAAGAAUUGUUAAAGGAAAUUCAUCAUGUUGAAGGAGAAUGAUAACAAAAGGCAGCUGGGUCUUGAGGAAUGAAGGAAGAAAACCAGAAAGGAACAGAAACAAAUAACUGGUCAUCAGCGACCAUGUUUUGCGGAUGCUUAGGCAGCCUAUGGAGAGGCCCAUGGGAGGAGGAAUUGAGGCCUGCCAGCAACCACAGGAGGGAGCUUAGAAGUGGAUCCUCCCCACUGUCCUAAGAAAGCCUUUAGAGGAAGCCACAGUUCGGGUCUUCAGCUUGACUCCAACCUCGUAAGAGGCUUUGAACCCCAGUCAUCUGGCUAAGACAUGCUCGGAUUCAUGAUGCACAGAAACUCUGAGAUAGCAAAUGUUUGCUGUUUUAGGCUACUGAGUUUUGGGGUUUCUUGUUACACGGAGCGAUAGAUAACUAAUAAACCUGUAUAUCACCAA